rnacentral:rRNA from 1 species
AUUGAACGCUGGCGGCAGGCCUAACACAUGCAAGUCGAACGGUAACAGGAAGCAGCUUGCUGCUUCGCUGACGAGUGGCGGACGGGUGAGUAAUGUCUGGGAAGCUGCCUGAUGGAGGGGGAUAACUACUGGAAACGGUAGCUAAUACAGCAUAAUGUCGCAAGACCAAAGAGGGGGACCUUCGGGCCUCUUGCCAUCGGAUGUGCCCAGAUGGGAUUAGCUUGUUGGUGGGGUAACGGCUCACCAAGGCGACGAUCCCUAGCUGGUCUGAGAGGAUGACCAGCCACACUGGAACUGAGACACGGUCCAGACGCCUACGGGAGGCAGCAGUGGGGAAUAUUGGACAAUGGGCGCAAGCCUGAUGCAGCCAUGCCGCGUGUAUGAAGAAGGCCUUCGGGUUGUAAAGUACUUUCAGCGGGGAGGAAGGGAGUAAAGUUAAUACCUUGGCUCAUUGACGUUACCCGCAGAAGAAGCACCGGCUAACUCCGUG